AGUGAACGCUGGCGGUAGGCCUAACACAUGCAAGUCGAGCGGCAGCACAGUAAGAGCUUGCUCUUACGGGUGGCGAGUGGCGGACGGGUGAGGAAUACAUCGGAAUCUACUUUUUCGUGGGGGAUAACGUAGGGAAACUUACGCUAAUACCGCAUACGACCUACGGGUGAAAGCAGGGGAUCUUCGGACCUUGCGCGAUUGAAUGAGACGAUGUCGGAUUAGCUAGUUGGCGGGGUAAAGGCCCACCAAGGCGACGAUCCGUAGCUGGUCUGAGAGGAUGAUCAGCCACACUGGAACUGAGACACGGUCCAGACUCCUACGGGAGGCAGCAGUGGGGAAUAUUGGACAAUGGGCGCAAGCCUGAUCCAGCCAUACCGCGUGGGUGAAGAAGGCCUUCGGGUUGUAAAGCCCUUUUGUUGGGAAAGAAAAGCAGCAGGUUAAUACCCCGCUGUUCUGACGGUACCCAAAGAAUAAGCACCGGCUAACUUCGUG
rnacentral:rRNA from 1 species